rnacentral:lncRNA from 1 species
UCAUCACACCACUCGAACAUAUUGUAAAGUCCAAUCAAAAUAUAUUUCAUGUAUAAAUCUAGAGUUAGUGGACUCUAUAAAUAUGUAACAUACAUGGUAUCAUUUUUUCACUCAAUACAGAAAUGUAUUACAAUCAUUAAUUUCUCAAAUCUGAUCAUUCAUUGCGUGAAGAUAUAACAUUUAUAUGCUCUUAAUAAAUCACAUAUUUCUUCUAAUUAAUACUAUUGCAUACUACUCAACCUCUUAUUUUCCAUCUUUCUCUUUCGGACAAAUGUUACCGAUUACAAUCCAAAAUUGAAAAAAAAAAAAAAAAAAAAAAAAAAAGGCGCAAAUACUAGUAGUAUGCAAUAGUAAACAAACACUUUUGAUUUUUUAAAUACAAUAAUAAUAUCCAAAAUUCAUUUUUUAAUUAAUAAAGACAAUGCUUGACCAACAAAAAAA